AUUGAACGCUGGCGGCAUGCCUUACACACGCAAGUCGAACGGCAGCACGGGAGCAAUCCUGGUGGCGAGUGGCGAACGGGUGAGUAAAGUAUCGGAACGUGCCCAGUCGUGGGGAUAACGUAGCGAAAGUUACGCUAAUACCGCAUACGAUCUAUGGAUGAAAGCGGGGGGUCGCAAGACCUCGCGCGAUUGGAGCGGCCGAUAUCAGAUUAGGUAGUUGGUGGGGUAAAGGCCCACCAAGCCAACGACCUGUAGCUGGUCUGAGAGGACGACCAGCCACACUGGAACUGAGACACGGUCCAGACUCCUACGGGAGGCAGCAGUGGGGAAUUUUGGACAAUGGGCGAAAGCCUGAUCCAGCCAUUCCGCGUGCAGGAUGAAGGCCCUCGGGUUGUAAACUGCUUUUGUACAGAACGAAAAGGUUUCUACUAAUACUAGGAGCUCAUGACGGUACUGUAAGAAUAAGCACCGGCUAACUACGUGCCAGCAGCCGCGGUAA
rnacentral:rRNA from 1 species